rnacentral:rRNA from 1 species
UGCGGUGGCUAUAGCAUUGUGGACCCACCUCUUCCCAUCCCGAACAGAGAAGUUAAGCACACUAACGCCGAUGGUACUGCCAUACCAGGUGGAAGAGUAGGCAGCUGCGGCUU